rnacentral:rRNA from 1 species
AACUUUCAACAACGGAUCUCUUGCGUCUGCAUCGAUGAAGAAC